rnacentral:snRNA from 1 species
AGCUUUGUGCAGUGGCAAUAUCGUAGCCAAUGAGGUUUAUCCGAGGCACGAUUAUUGGUAAUUGAAAACUUUUCCCAAUAAAU